GAACAGGAUGCUGUAUGCAGAGAUACAAUCCUACCUUUACAAGGUUCCAGGACUAAAAGGGCCUCCCACAGAACAGGAUGCUGUAUGCAGAGAUACAAUCCUACCUUUACAAGGUUCCAGAACUAAAAGGGCCUCCCACAGAACAGGAUGCUGUAUGCAGAGAUACAAUCCUACCUUUACAAGGUUCCAGAACUAAAAGGGCCUCCUACAGAACAGGAUGCUGUAUGCAGAGAUACAAUCCUACCUCCACCUACUUUACAAGGUUCCAGAACUAAACCUGGUUUACAGAACAGGAUGCCGUAUGCAGAGAUACAAUCCUAUCUUUACUGAUUCACCUCGAACAUUUCCGUCACAUCGAUCUUUGUAAUAAAAAGUAAGUAUUGGGAAGUGAAACUGUUUUAAACUGCUGUUUGAAGUGGAAUUAAAACCCAUUCUAUUUCA